rnacentral:tRNA from 1 species
UGGGGGAUCAUCUAGCGGCAGGAUGUCUGGCUCUGACCCAGAAAACCGUGGUUCGAACCCACGUCCCCCAGCCA